rnacentral:rRNA from 1 species
GGCGGCAGGCCUAACACAUGCAAGUCGAACGGUAACAGGAAGCAGCUUGCUGCUUCGCUGACGAGUGGCGGACGGGUGAGUAAUGUCUGGGAAACUGCCUGAUGGAGGGGGAUAACUACUGGAAACGGUGGCUAAUACCGCAUAACGUCGCAAGACCAAAGAGGGGGACCUUCGGGCCUCUUGCCAUCAGAUGUGCCCAGAUGGGAUUAGCUUGUUGGUGAGGUAACGGCUCACCAAGGCGACGAUCCCUAGCUGGUCUGAGAGGAUGACCAGCCACACUGGAACUGAGACACGGUCCAGACUCCUACGGGAGGCAGCAGUGGGGAAUAUUGCACAAUGGGCGCAAGCCUGAUGCAGCCAUGC